rnacentral:rRNA from 1 species
GGGCUUAACACAUGCAAGUCGAGGGGCAUCAGGAAGAAUGCUUGCUUUCUUUGCUGGCGACCGGCGCACGGGUGAGUAACACGUAUCCAACCUGCCCUUUACUCGGGGAUAGCCUUUCGAAAGAAAGAUUAAUACCCGAUGGCAUAAUGAUUCCGCAUGGUUUCAUUAUUAAAGGAUUCCGGUAAAGGAUGGGGAUGCGUUCCAUUAGGUUGUUGGUGAGGUAACGGCUCACCAAGCCUUCGAUGGAUAGGGGUUCUGAGAGGAAGGUCCCCCACAUUGGAACUGAGACACGGUCCAAACUCCUACGGGAGGCAGCAGUGAGGAAUAUUGGUCAAUGGGCGCUAGCCUGAACCAGCCAAGUAGCGUGAAGGAUGAAGGCUCUAUGGGUCGUAAACUUCUUUUAUAUAAGAAUAAAGUGCAGUAUGUAUACUGUUUUGUAUGUAUUAUAUGAAUAAGGAUCGGCUAACUCCGUGCCAGCAGCCGCGGUAAUACGGAGGAUCCGAGCGUUAUCCGGAUUUAUUGGGUUUAAAGGGAGCGUAGGUGGACUGGUAAGUCAGUUGUGAAAGUUUGCGGCUCAACCGUAAAAUUGCAGUUGAUACUGUCAGUCUUGAGUACAGUAGAGGUGGGCGGAAUUCGUGGUGUAGCGGUGAAAUGCUUAGAUAUCACGAAGAACUCCGAUUGCGAAGGCAGCUCACUGGACUGCAACUGACACUGAUGCUCGAAAGUGUGGGUAUCAAACAGGAUUAGAUACCCUGGUAGUCCACACAGUAAACGAUGAAUACUCGCUGUUUGCGAUAUACAGUAAGCGGCCAAGCGAAAGCAUUAAGUAUUCCACCUGGGGAGUACGCCGGCAACGGUGAAACUCAAAGGAAUUGACGGGGGCCCGCACAAGCGGAGGAACAUGUGGUUUAAUUCGAUGAUACGCGAGGAACCUUACCCGGGCUUAAAUUGCAGUGGAAUGAUGUGGAAACAUGUCAGUGAGCAAUCACCGCUGUGAAGGUGCUGCAUGGUUGUCGUCAGCUCGUGCCGUGAGGUGUCGGCUUAAGUGCCAUAACGAGCGCAACCCUUAUCUUUAGUUACUAACAGGUUAUGCUGAGGACUCUAGAGAGACUGCCGUCGUAAGAUGUGAGGAAGGUGGGGAUGACGUCAAAUCAGCACGGCCCUUACGUCCGGGGCUACACACGUGUUACAAUGGGGGGUACAGAAGGCAGCUAGCGGGUGACCGUAUGCUAAUCCCAAAAGCCUCUCUCAGUUCGGAUCGAAGUCUGCAACCCGACUUCGUGAAGCUGGAUUCGCUAGUAAUCGCGCAUCAGCCACGGCGCGGUGAAUACGUUCCCGGGCCUUGUACACACCGCCCGUCAAGCCAUGGGAGCCGGGGGUACCUGAAGUACGUAACCGCAAGGAUCGUCCUAGGGUAAAACUGG